GUGCACCAGGCGCGAAAACUUCACAAUGUGCGAAAGCACGAUGAGGGAAUCCCAAGUGCUUGCACGUAAGUGUAAGCUGUUUCUCUGUCUAAAACGCAGAGAGAGUAAGGGCUGGGUAAGACGGGUGCCAGCCGCCGCGGUAAUACCUGCAGCUCGAGUGGUGACCGUUAUUAUUGGGCCUAAAACGUCCGUAGCCGGUUUAAUAAAUGCCUGGGUAAAUCGGACCGCUUAACGGUUCGAAUUCCGGGUAGACUGUUAAACUUGAGACCGGGAGAAGUUAGAGGUACUCCUGGGGUAGAGGUGAAAUUCUGUAAUCCUAGGGGGACCACCAGUGGCGAAGGCGUCUAACUAGAACGGGUCUGACGGUGAGGGACGAAGCCCUGGGGCGCAAACGGGGAUUAGAUACCCCUGUAGU
rnacentral:rRNA from 1 species